rnacentral:snRNA from 1 species
GUGCUCGCUUUGGCAGCACAUAUACUAAAAUUGGAAUGAUACAGAGAAGAUUAGUAUGGCCCCUGUGCAAGGAUGACACGCAAAUUCGUGAAGUGUUCCAUAUUAAA